GAUGAACGCUGGCGGCGUGCCUAAUACAUGCAAGUCGAGCGAACGGACGAGAAGCUUGCUUCUCUGAUGUUAGCGGCGGACGGGUGAGUAACACGUGGAUAACCUACCUAUAAGACUGGGAUAACUUCGGGAAACCGGAGCUAAUACCGGAUAAUAUUUUGAACCGCAUGGUUCAAAAGUGAAAGACGGUCUUGCUGUCACUUAUAGAUGGAUCCGCGCUGCAUUAGCUAGUUGGUAUGGUAACGGCUUACCAAGGCAACGAUGCAUAGCCGACCUGAGAGGGUGAUCGGCCACACUGGAACUGAGACACGGUCCAGACUCCUACGGGAGGCAGCAGUAGGGAAUCUUCCGCAAUGGGCGAAAGCCUGACGGAGCAACGCCGCGUGAGUGAUGAAGGUCUUCGGAUCGUAAAACUCUGUUAUUAGGGAAGAACAUAUGUGUAAGUAACUGUGCACAUCUUGACGGUACCUAAUCAGAAAGCCACGGCUAACUACGUGCCAGCAGCCGCGGUAAUACGUAGGUGGCAAGCGUUAUCCGGAAUUAUUGGGCGUAAAGCGCGCGUAGGCGGUUUUUUAAGUCUGAUGUGAAAGCCCACGGCUCAACCGUGGAGGGUCAUUGGAAACUGGAAAACUUGAGUGCAGAAGAGGAAAGUGGAAUUCCAUGUGUAGCGGUGAAAUGCGCAGAGAUAUGGAGGAACACCAGUGGCGAAGGCGACUUUCUGGUCUGUAACAGACGCUGAUGUGCGAAAGCGUGGGGAUCAAACAGGAUUAGAUACCCUGGUAGUCCACGCCGUAAACGAUGAGUGCUAAGUGUUAGGGGGUUUCCGCCCCUUAGUGCUGCAGCUAACGCAUUAAGCACUCCGCCUGGGGAGUACGACCGCAAGGUUGAAACUCAAAGGAAUUGACGGGGACCCGCACAAGCGGUGGAGCAUGUGGUUUAAUUCGAAGCAACGCGAAGAACCUUACCAAAUCUUGACAUCCUUUGACAACUCUAGAGAUAGAGCCUUCCCCUUCGGGGGACAAAGUGACAGGUGGUGCAUGGUUGUCGUCAGCUCGUGUCGUGAGAUGUUGGGUUAAGUCCCGCAACGAGCGCAACCCUUAAGCUUAGUUGCCAUCAUUAAGUUGGGCACUCUAAGUUGACUGCCGGUGACAAACCGGAGGACGGUGGGGAUGACGUCAAAUCAUCAUGCCCCUUAUGAUUUGGGCUACACACGUGCUACAAUGGACAAUACAAAGGGCAGCGAAACCGCGAGGUCAAGCAAAUCCCAUAAAGUUGUUCUCAGUUCGGAUUGUAGUCUGCAACUCGACUACAUGAAGCUGGAAUCGCUAGUAAUCGUAGAUCAGCAUGCUACGGUGAAUACGUUCCCGGGUCU
rnacentral:rRNA from 1 species